rfam:Ophiophagus hannah scaffold9216.1, whole genome shotgun sequence.
ACCGGCUGAUGACGACUUGUGUAUAAAUCCACUCGCUGGAGUAGACAGGUCUGAUGCUUGCUGGN